GAUGAACGCUGGCGGCGUGCCUAAUACAUGCAAGUCGAGCGAACAGACGAGGAGCUUGCUCCUCUGACGUUAGCGGCGGACGGGUGAGUAACACGUGGAUAACCUACCUAUAAGACUGGGAUAACUUCGGGAAACCGGAGCUAAUACCGGAUAAUAUAUUGAACCGCAUGGUUCAAUAGUGAAAGACGGUCUUGCUGUCACUUAUAGAUGGAUCCGCGCUGCAUUAGCUAGUUGGUAAGGUAACGGCUUACCAAGGCAACGAUGCGUAGCCGACCUGAGAGGGGGAUCGGCCACACUGGAACUGAGACACGGUCCAGACUCCUACGGGAGGCAGCAGUAGGGAAUCUUCCGCAAUGGGCGAAAGCCUGACGGAGCAACGCCGCGUGAGUGAUGAAGGUCUUCGGAUCGUAAAACUCUGUUAUGAGGGAAGAACAAAUGUGUAAGUAACUGUGCACGUCUUGACGGUACCUAAUCAGAAAGCCACGGCUAACUACGUG
rnacentral:rRNA from 1 species